rnacentral:rRNA from 1 species
CAGCCCCUCGAGUGGUGGGGAUGAUUAUUUGGCCUAAAGCGUCCGUAGCUGGCCGUGUAAGUCUCCCGUUAAAUCCAGCGUCUCAAGCGUUGGACUGCGGGAGAUACUGCUCGGCUAGAGAGUGGGAGAGGUGUGCGGUAUUCUGGGGGUAGGGGCGAAAUCCUUUGAUCCCCGGAGGACCACCAGUGGCGAAGGCUGCACACUAGAACACGUCUGACGGUCAGGGACGAAAGCUGGGGUAGCGAACCGGAUUAGAUACCCUGGUAGUCC